AUUGAACGCUGGCGGCAGGCCUAACACAUGCAAGUCGAACGAGUGGCAGACGGGUGAGUAAUGUCUGGGAAACUGCCUGAUGGAGGGGGAUAACUACUGGAAACGGUAGCUAAUACCGCAUACCAUCGGAUGUGCCCAGAUGGGUUUAGCUAGUAGGGGGGGUAAAGGCUCACCUAGGCGACGAUCCCUAGCUGGUCUGAGAGGAUGACCAGCCACCCGGGAACUGAGACACGGUCCAGACUCCAACGGGAGGCAGCAGGGGGAAAUAUUGCACAAUGGGCGCAAGCCUGAUGCAGCCAUGCCGGGUGUAUGAAGAAGGCCUUCGGGUUGUAAAGUCCUUUCAGCGGGGAGGCGUUACCCGCAGAAGAAGCACCGGCUAACUCCGUGCCAGCCCCGCGGUAAUAC
rnacentral:rRNA from 1 species